rnacentral:rRNA from 1 species
GACAGAGGGGGCAAGCGUUGCUCGGAAUUACUGGGCGUAAAGCGCGCGUAGGCGGCUUUGUAAGUUAGAGGUGAAAGCCCAGGGCUCAACCCUGGAAUUGCCUUUAAGACUGCAUCGCUUGAACAUCGGAGAGGUAAGUGGAAUUCCGAGUGUAGAGGUGAAAUUCGUAGAUAUUCGCAAGAACACCAGUGGCGAAGGCGGCUCACUGGCCCGGUACUGACGCUGAGGUGCGAAAGCGUGGGGAGCAAACAGG